rnacentral:lncRNA from 1 species
CCAUACAUGGAUUCAAUUUGAAGUCUCCAGCCAACAGACUCUAUUGACUGAAGACUUGGGGGACUACAGUAUGUACCAUAUAUUGGGCCUCAACUGGGCCUCAUGAAAAAUACUUGGGGGACUCUAGCCCAUUAUUUAUAUAUUGAGGAGUGAGCCCUUGUUUUAUAAAAGGGACUCCCUCACCAUUAUUAGAGACCAUUAACUCUA